CCCUUAGAUGUUCUGGGCCGCACGCGUGCUACACUGAGUGGAUCAGCGGGUCAGGUUGCGCGAAAGCGUUUCCUAAUCUUUAAAUCCGCUCGUGAUGGGGAUUGACGGUUGCAAUUUUCUGUCAUGAACGAGGAAUACCUUGUAAGCGCGGGUCAUCAUCCCGCGCUGAUUACGUCCCUGCCCUUUGUACACACCGCCCGUCGCUACUACCGAUUGAAUGGUUUAGUGAGAUCUUCGGAUUGGCGCCACUGCGGCUCAGCAAUGGGCUCGGUGGAUGCCGAAAAGUUGAUCAAACUUGAUCAUUUAGAGGAAGUAAAAGUCGUAACA
rnacentral:rRNA from 1 species